rnacentral:rRNA from 1 species
CCUACGGGAGGCAGCAGUGGGGAAUAUUGCACAAUGGUGGUAACCCUGAUGCAGCGACGCCGCGUGAGUGAAGACGUAUUUCGGUAUGUAAAGCUCUGUCAGCAGGGAAGAAAAUGACGGUACCUGACCAAGAAGCCCCGGCUAACUACGUGCCAGCAGCCGCGGUAAUACGUAGGGGGCCAGCGUUAUCCGGAUUUACUGGGUGUAAAGGGAGCGUAGACGGCAGGGCAAGUCUGGAGUGAAAGGCGGGGGCUCAACCCCCGGACUACUCUGGAAACUGUCAGGCUGGAGUGCAGGAGAGGUAAGUGGAAUUCCUAGUGUAGCGGUGAAAUGCGUAGAUAUUAGGAGGAACACCAGUGGCGAAGGCGGCUUACUGGACUGUAACUGACGUUGAGGCUCGAAAGCGUGGGGAGCAAACAGGAUUAGAUACCCCUGUAGUC